rnacentral:rRNA from 1 species
UACGAAGGGUGCAAGCGUUACUCGGAAUUACUGGGCGUAAAGCGUGCGUAGGUGGUUUGUUAAGUCUGUUGUGAAAGCCCCGGGCUCAACCUGGGAAUGGCAAUGGAUACUGGCAGGCUAGAGUGCGGUAGAGGGUAGUGGAAUUCCUGGUGUAGCAGUGAAAUGCGUAGAGAUCAGGAGGAACAUCCGUGGCGAAGGCGACUACCUGGACCAGUACUGACACUGAGGCACGAAAGCGUGGGGAGCAAACAGG